AUGAAUGUCAUCAUGACACCAUCCAUGAAGAAUAGGAACCCCAGAUCAAAUUCUUCAUAUGGAUCAAAAUCUUCAUAUGGAUCCAAGUCCUCAUAUGGACCAAAUUCUUCAUAUGGAUCAAAUUCCUCACGUGGAUCAAAAUCCUCAUAUGAACAUCAUCGUGCUAACACCUCUGUUUCGCAAGGAAAGUCUAAAUGCUAUGAAUAUGAGCAUUAUUCUUCAAACCAUUAUGUUCAUAAGUCCUCGAAGAAUUUCUCUGCUUAUUCAUAUGCUUACCCUAACCACUCUUCUGUGAAAUGA
rnacentral:rRNA from 1 species